UAGAAAUUUCAUGAAGACAAAGCCAAAUAAAAAUUGUAGACUUUUCUUAUGACAAGUACGAGCGUACACGAAAUUAAUUCAUCGCAACGCGCGAUCCCGAGAACGUCGUAUUAUCAGUGUAUCAGACAGCCAAUCGGCCGCGCAAUCGAUGGUAACAGCUUUUAAUUGACCCUCCUCGCCGCUUCGCUGCGCGCAGCAAAAUGCAGCACGACAACACGACGAUGAAUACAGUCAACGAGUCAACAACUUCACUGUUGCACAAUUAUCGUUACAGAUCUCAACACUCUAAAUUACUCUA